rnacentral:rRNA from 1 species
GUGGGGGAUAUUGCACAAUGGGGGAAACCCUGAUGCAGCGACGCCGCGUGAGUGAAGAAGUAUUUCGGUAUGUAAAGCUCUAUCAGCAGGGAAGAAAAUGACGGUACCUGACUAAGAAGCCCCGGCUAACUACGUGCCAGCAGCCGCGGUAAUACGUAGGGGGCAAGCGUUAUCCGGAUUUACUGGGUGUAAAGCGAGUGUAGACGGCUGCACAAGUCCGAUGUGAAAUUCCGCGGCUCAACUGCGGGACUGCAUUGGAAACUGUGCUGCUGGAGUGUCGGAGAGGUAAGUGGAAUUCCUAGUGUAGCGGUGAAAUGCGUAGAUAUUAGGAGGAACACCAGUGGCGAAGGCGGCUUACUGGACGACAACUGACGUUGAGACUCGAAAGCGUGGGGAGCAAACAGGAUUAGAAACCCGAGUAGUCC